GAACUAUCUGAGGGGUGAGAGAGAUGUGGGGGUGGGGUGCUUGUGCUGUUAGAGGUAAGUCCAAACACAGGCAGGAGACUACAGCAUCACAAACAACGGAGGACACAGUCCAGGCUCAGCAGGGACACAUGGGGAAAUAGGAGCUGUAUUUUACAUGCAGAGUAGAGAAGGAGAGGUUAUGUGCAGCUGGGAUAAUGAGGUGGGAGAUCAGGAGGUGGAGAGAAGGGGUUGAUGCUCAGAAGGCACCAAGUAGAGAAAGCGGCCCUGGGCUGAAGUCUUCUCAUGCUCUCUGACAGAUGCUAAUUUGGGCCAUCCUGGCAAACGACAGAAGACACUGGAAAGCCACAGAGUGCCUUAGACAGUGGAAUAGGAGAAUUCAGCAGUAAUGAAAUGGAACACACUGACUGACCCUUCAUAGUAAGGGGCUGUAUCUGUGCAGAUGAGGCUGAGUUAAGCUGGCCCCUGUUUUUCAGGUGUAGACUCAUAGUGACAAUACAGUUUGAUGAAAGUGAACAGAGCUUGGGGAAAGUGAGAUGAGGCGAGGGAGCAACAGAGGAAGGCUGCACAGAAAAGGGCUGGUUGGUGGUCCAGAUCCCACAGGAUGCUGCUGCUCAGGGAAAAGGUAUUCCAGCAUGUACGCUGUACAGAGAAGACUGUAAAACUGGUUACACUGAAUGUUCAGAAGAAAGCUCCAGAACUAUGCUUUGAAGGUGACUUGUAUGGGAACCUCUCAGUAUCACAGUAAUGUUUAAAAGAGAAGAGAAACAAGCCCGAGGGAGAUGAGAUGCCUUGCCUGACCUUCAACGAUGUCACUUGGCCUGAAGGAGCUAAAACCCAGCAGUCCUCCAACAUGCUUAAAGAGCUCUGCACACUCACACAAGCCAUAUGAUUAUCCCUUGGGAAUAGACAGCACUUUCCCACAAGGGUGCAUUAACUGAAAUGGAAGUCUGCUGAAUAGGGAGCAACCCCUUUUUAUUUAUUUAUGUUUAAUGCUAAGCAGGGUAGCCCUGAUCAGCUCCUAGGGGGCUGUAAAUAGCAUCCCCUAACUUAUUAGCUGUCGAGAAUUAUAGAUCCUAAUUGGGAAGCUCCAGAAACUAACUGGCCUCAAAAAACAGUAUAAGUCUUUAUCUAGGAUUCUUCAGGAGAGACCACUUCCCUGGUUCCAUGAAGACAAAGGCUUAGGGAUGAAGAACUAAAAACAGCAACAAACUCAAAAGGCUGCAGUAGCCAGAACUAAAAAAGAAACAGCGGACAGGCUCCAAGACAAUACAGAGAAACCCUGUCUCGAAAAACCAAAAAAAGAAAAAAAAAAGAAAAAAAAGAAAUAGUGGGUGUAGCAACCUGCUUUAUGUAGCAGAGACAUGGUCCUCUUUAGCUAGCUCUUCAGGGUGAAUUCUGCAGAGGUGGUUUUUACUGUGGAUUCCUCUCGCACCAUUUGUUACAUGAGCAACAUGCCAGGAAGAAGAGAAGCUUGAUUCUGUGGGGUUCUGGAGUGUGAGCCGGCCUCAGACAUGUUCUACCCCAAUAUGAGGAUGCUGGGACUUCAUCUUUCACACCUGACAGUCAUCACUUAAAGCAUCCUGCAAAGAAAUCUGGCUGUAAAGGAAGUGAAGAAAAAACUAUCCAGUGAUUGACCUCCAGUCUCGGAGGGGUGGCAGUCUAUAGUUGGAAGCAGUGAGAGAAGAUGGGGUGGAUUCCAAGACACCUGAACUGCUGUGAUCUGUGCACCUGGACCUGUUCAGAGUUGAACAGAAAUGUUACUGGCAAUUAAAAGGCCAUUGUAGCUUAAAGGGGAAGCAGUGCAAUGAUUGGGAGUAUGGAUUCUGGAACUAGAUUCUGAAGCUGCUCGUAGGUCUCUUCUGUUUCUCAGUUUCUCCAAUUUUAGUAAAAUGGGGAUAAAUUAUGACUUCCUAAAAUUGUAAAAAGACACAUGCCUCUAGGAUGAUGGUGCAGUCCAAUGGUAGAGUAUGUACUUGGCAUGUAUGGGGUCAUGGAUUCAAACCUUAGGACCACAUACAUGCAAAGCCAUGAAAUAAAACAAUAAAAAUUAGUCAUUUAUAUGAACCAAUUCAUAAAACAUAUUGGAAGUGUUCCUGGCAUUGAGUAGUAAGACCAUUAUAAACCUUAAUAUAAUAUUUUUAUCCAUUUUAUUUCUUAUAGGCAUACCAAUGUUUUACAAUUGAGUACCUUCACACCAUCACAACAUCCAAGGUAUUUGAUUGGCCAUUUUCCAUAUUCUAAACUAUCCAACAAUUUUAAACUUUGGUAACUCUCCUUGCCAUUCACACAUAUCAUUUUUCCUGAACACUCCUUUAGAGACACUUUCCUUGGUUAUACUAUCCAACGUGCACUUCCUUUUACUGGCAGAGUCAUAUCAAAACCAUCAUAAGGAAAUGAAACAAUGCUCAGGAUUUAUUGCAAAAUAACUCAGGAUGAGAGGGUGGUAAACUGAGUGGUAAACUGCAGUGACACACAGUCUGCUCUCAUAUGUAGCAGUUUUUAAAGGCCCCCUUUGUGACACUUCAUUGUUGAGUUUAAUGGAUUUACAAUCACCAUGGAGAUACACUUCUGGGAGUUUCUGUGAGGAUGUUUUCAAAAAGGUUUGACCAAGGAGGGAUUCUGAAUGUGGGUGGUGUCAUUCAUCCAUGGGCUAGAGUCCUAGACUGAAUAAAAAGAUCAAAGGAGACAGCUAGUUGAGUACCAACUUGCAUCUUCCUGUUUCUUGACUGCAAACUCAACGUGACUAGUUGUCUCAUGUUCCUGAUGCCAUGCCAUUUCCACCACAAUGGACUGUACCCCCAAACUGUGAGCUAAAAUAGAUCCUUCAAUCUUUGCAGAAAAGAGUAAACAUCUUUAGAAAUAAACGUAUUAACAUUUUCCUUUUAAAAACGCUUUAAAUUCUCAUUUCACAUUACAUCAAUCAACCUAAGCUUUAGGUGCUGGGUGAAAGUCCAGAAACUUCUGAGUCCCUGAGUGUUAAUUAAUCAGGUGAAUUAGAGUCAAUAAAUGCAACUGUAUAGGUAGAUAACCUGCAAGGCUACCAUGGCCCUGAAUGAGCUUUGUGACCAUAGUUGAGAAUACUGCAGGUUGGAGAUCUCAGAAAUGAUGGCAGGUAGGGAUGAAGACAUAGCUUUCCUUUGGACAUCUAGGAUGAAAAGGCCUCUGGCAUCUCUUAGACACUGAAAGCCUGGAAAUGGUGUAGAGGACUGGGCAGGGGCUUCGUCACUUUGUUUGAGAUUACAGUCAUGUGUUUUAUAAUGAUGUUUCAGUUAAUGAUGGACUGCAUAUGGAGUCAUGGUCAUGUAACACUACAAUGGAGUUGAUGCAUUUCUAUUGCUUGGUUAUGUUGUAGUUGCCAUAGCAUCAUAUAGUAUUUAUAUUUUGUGUUGGUGAUAGAAAACAUACCAAUCAUAACACAGCAUAGCACUUACACAUAAAAUAUGAUACUUUAUAAUGAUAAAAAUUGACUGUGCCACUGAUUAAUGCACUUACUGUACUAUACUUUGCAUUAUUUUAGAAUGUACUCCAUUUAAUUAUGCAGGAACUUAACUGUAAGAUAGCAUGCUGUAUUAUGUGGGCAGCAGCCUCAUCCAUUUCUGUUUAUUGUAUCUCUUGAUUGCAUCAAACAGGUACAGCCAUAACUGAGCUACACCAUCCAGGUACACUCCAUAACAUUUUCAUGGUGAAAUGGCCCAACAUCACCUUCUGAAAAAUGUAUAUCCACCAGUAAGUUACUCAUGACUCUGGUCGGGCAUGGAAAGUUAAGGUAGUAGUGAAUGUGGCCUUUGGUGUUUUGUUUUGUUUUGAAAUCACAAGGAUUAGUGGAUAUCUUUGAGCUGUGAUGAGUUUUAUGGAGUAUCAGGCCUCUUGAGCAUAUAAGUAGUUUGUGACUUUAUAGUGGUCACUGAGUCAAAAGUGAGGCUCUAUACAGCUGACUUAACAAAGGCCGGCAUCACUGAAGAUGGACAGAGGAGGCUUUCCCCGAAUGAACAUGGGUAUAUUAGUGAGUGUUCUAGAAUCACACUGGGGAGACAGCUAGGUGCUGCAGGGGGUCUGAGGUCAGGUUGUGAAGACAAUUGAUGGGAACUGUUCUGAAGACACUACACAAGGGGACCUUUCCCAGGCCCAGGGAAAUGGGAGACAUCUUGGGAAUGACUCUCUGGAAUUGAAUCUUGUACAAUGACUGUGAGUUCAUAGUUGGGGAGCAGGAAGAAGAAAGGAAGAGACUUCACAUCCCUCAAAGAUGCAGAGUUGAGAAGCAGAACUUUGUGCAUGUGGAACCAUUAGCGUGGCACUUUGAUGGGGAAGUCCUGUGUAUAUGUCAAUAAAGAACUGUUGGCCAAUAGGGAAGCAAGAUA